rnacentral:sRNA from 1 species
UUGAGUCGCAGCCAUUAUUGAGUAAAAGUGAUUAGCGUAGGCUCUGUAUUAGAGUCUUUCCCCUAGGCCCAGAACAGGACGUUUUGGGCCCUUUUUU